rnacentral:lncRNA from 1 species
UUUUUUUUUUUUUUUUUUUUAAUGAAAGCAAUGGUCCUGCCACUCUUUAUUUCUCAUAAUACAGUUUUCAAAAGAAGAAGAAUUAUACACUUUAAAUUCUGAUCACAAGUUCUUUUUACAUUUGAACCAAAGAAUGAAUGUUAGUACUUCAAAAAAAUACCUUCAAUGUGUAAGCAUACAAAUUAUCAUGAGAAACAUUCAAAAACUAGAGUAGGCUCACUUUGAAAUGGAGCACGCCUAGUCCCCAGUGACAGCAGGAAACGACAUUACCAGAGUCAGGGGUUCUUAGGAGCUCCAACUCUUUACCACUGAUCCACGAUCAACCCGUUUUCUACCAACAGUAUAGGAGAACUUAGUUUUAAAAUAACAGCAUCAUCUUCCCCCCUGGUCCAGUUGUUUCAUUAGGCAGUAUUUACAAAAAGCACAUGAAAGUUUCUUACUGAUGAUCAACAACUUUGAGUACUGGUUUUUACUUUUUAAAGCAAUGAAUUAAAUUCUUUUUUUUUUUAAAGAAGAUAAACGCACAGUGAAAUUAUAUCUUCGUCUCAUUUUCAAAACAAAGCAAUUCAGAAUACAAAAUAACUCAGGUGGCCAGCACCUAACUUAUCCUCUAGGUGGCAAAAUUAAAACAGACAAAUAAAGAAAAAAGCUGUGGGUCGGAUUCCCAGUCUGUUCAUUCACUUGAACCUACUACUCAGAACACAGAAUCACAUGUAACCAACCCCAGGCCAGCCCCAAACUUGCUAUGUAGCUGAGGCUGGCCUUAAGCUGCUCCUGAUCAUUGUGUCUCUACCUCCCAAUUGCUGGUAUUAGAGGCUUUAGUCACCUUGCCCCAUUUACGCAGUUGUUGGGUUUCUUAAUUAUUUUUAUGAUUUUUAAAUAUUUGUGAGCAUGUGCCUGUGUUCCAAGUACCAGUGGGAGCCAGAUGAGGGCUGCUGCAGCAAGCUGUCCUACAUGGGAGUGAGACCUCAAUCCUAGUGAGUAGCAAGGCCCUUAACUGCUGACUUAUCAUGUCUCCCCCCACCCCCAUUCUUUUUGUGUGAAUUCAGACAAGAGCAUGCCACAGUGCAUGUGCAGAUCUGAAAGGACAAACUUUAUGGUUCAGUUGGGGGGGGGGGUCAGACAGACUUAGGUGCCAGCCUUACUCAAAGGGUAUUUUUACCUACUGAGCCAUUCCAUUUAUCCAGAAUAUGUUUGUUUGUUUUUUGUUGGUUUUUUUUGGUUUUGGUUUUUUGGUCUUGUCAGUGUUUAUUUUCUGUGUACUGGUGUUUUGCCUGCAUGUGUCUUGUGUGGGGGGUGUCAGAUUCCCUGGAACUGGAGUUACUGGCAGGUGUGAGUGGUCAUGUGGGUGCUGCGAAUUGAACCCGGGUCCUCUGGAAGAGCAGCCAGUACUCUUAGGUGUUGAGCCAUUGCUCCAGCCCCCAGUAGGUUUCUAAACUUACUCAUGACUUUCAUAUUGCCCUAAGUUAACCUAGAUUGACUGACAGGGCAGUAGUUACCAAUAAUCAGAACUGUACUGUAUUUUACGGGCUGAUGAUCACUUCUUAAUACAACUUAUUUCAUAUAUUGUAUCAUCCACCCAGACUGGAGGCAGAGAGGUUGCAAAAGUCUGUCACUUGUUAGCAGCCAUGAAGAGCGACUUUGAAGUCAGUAGGGAAAGCAAGGAUGUGGUCCAGCACUGGCCUUAGCGACCACAGUUCCGGGGUCUGACACAACACCUAAGUUAAUCCAGGGAAUGCAAGGGCUGCCCGGAAGCCCUGUCCCUCCCUGGUGUUAUAUAUAGUAACCUUGUCCUGAGGAGAAAACAGUAGCAAUAUCAAAGCAGUUACGGAUAAUUCACUAGGAAAACUUUAGAAGCCAUUGCCCACAUCUAAGUCCCAGGGCGAGGAGGUAGAAGCAGGGAGAUCACUUGAAGUUCCAGGCCAGUCUGCUUUACACACUGAGCUCCAGACCAGCCAGGCAUACAUAUGAGAACCUGUCUCAAAAAGAGGGAAGAAAUCAUGGCACCAUGAUUAUGACAAUGUUGAUGUGCAACAGAUGAUGCUUAUAAACAAUUACAACAUAAGCUGUAUUGUGCUUAUGUGUGUGUGUGAGGAGGGAGUACACAUUAUGCUUGCACUUGUGGGAGUUAGUUCUCCUUCACGAAUGUGGUCACAGGGAUCAAACUGACUCUCAGGUUUGGCAGGAAGUGCCUUUACCUACUGAGCCAUAUUGCCAGCCCUUUCCAAAAGGUAUUUUUAAGUCAAAUAACACUUCACCCUCAGGAGUUGGUGUCUCUAGUCUUUGUUACUUUUUCUUAAUUCCAAGAUGGAAAUCCUAGUAAGUAACCUGAAUGUAACAUUAAAGAAUCACAUGUGAAAAGUGACAGCAAUAAUAAAUGCACAUUACUUGAAGAACUGGAGUAUAAAAGGGAGAGGGUAGAGCAUAAAAACGUUGGCACCAUCCAACUGUUUUUGAAAAUAGGGAAUUGCAGGCAUGGCAACACAUACCUGUGCCCUUACACACAGGAGGCUGAAGCAAGAGGGUCUCUAGUCACCAGUCAUCCUGGACUACCAUGGCUACCCUGCCUGGCCAUUUUUAUCUUUACAACAAGCAUAGAGCUGUUUCCUGGCUCUCUCCUUCAAACAAUGGCAGCCUCAAUAGCAGACACCGACCUUAGAAGUUUUUUUCUGGAAUGAAAAUGGGGGCAGGUUGAGACAGAGUCCUGUGUAGCCUAGGCUGUCUUUGACCUUGCAUUGUAGCUGAGGGAGACCUUGAACAACAGAUCCUCUUUGCAGGCAUAACUCUUAGAGAGUUGCUGAUCUCUGGUUCAUAGCAGGAAAUAAAUUCAACAUGGAAGCUUGCUGUAAGAGACAGCAAGGAGAGUAACAGAGUGUUAAGAACUCAGCCAACCUUCAAGGAAUGGAAAGAGAAUUGAAGCUGAACCUCAAUAAAGUGACACUUGUAAUGGAUGGAAGUCUGUUCAUACAUGACUGAAUACAUGAGUUCAUAAUGCUUUUGUUCAGCUUUGAAACAGGGUCUUACCCUAUAGCCCAGGCAGGCCUGCAACUAACUAUGUAGUCCAGGCUGGCUUUGAACUAGAAUCCUGCUCAGCCUCCUAGGCCUACAGGCAUAUCAUCACAAGUUCACACAGAAAAUCAAAUCAUAAAUUGAAAUAGAAGUUU